rnacentral:pre_miRNA from 9 species
UAUGUUGGGGGUGAUGGCCGAUUGAACAACACCAAUCGAACCAAUCAAUCUAUUACACUUUUGUGUUCAUCUAUCUUUAUUGUAGGAUAAAAAGAUUCACCAAUCUAUUGAUUGGUUCGAUUGGUGUUGUUCAAUCGGCCAUCACCCCCAACAUA